CACCCUCCUCCUCCUCCUCCUCCCGUAUUUUUUUUUCUACAAAGGAGGGAGGAGGAGGAGAGGAGGGGGGUG